UACGUAGGUGGCGAGCGUUAUCCGGAUUUACUGGGUGUAAAGGGUGUGUAGGCGGACCUGUAAGUCAGGUGUGAAAUCUAUCGGCCCAACCGAUAGCGUGCACUUGAAACUGCAGGCCUUGAGAGUCGGAGAGGUAAGCGGAAUUCCCAGUGUAGCGGUGAAAUGCGUAGAUAUUGGGAGGAACACCAGUGGCGAAGGCGGCUUACUGGACGACCACUGACGCUGAGACACGAAAGCGUGGGGAGCAAAC
rnacentral:rRNA from 1 species